rnacentral:snRNA from 1 species
AUCUUUCCACUUGAGGCAAUGACAUAGUUACUGAGGUACUAAUCGAGGCAUGUCUAUUUCUAGUGGAAAACUAUUUCUAAAGCCCCUAGGUUCAAGUCUUAGCCAUUGAGAAUAUCUGGAAGGGCUCCCUUCAAAUAAAGCC